CAAAACACCAUAUAGACGAGGAAGCGUAUCGUCGUCUAAGAAGGGCUUCACCAGAAAUUAAAGGAACAGCAGGAUGGAUUCUAGCUUCGUGUGAGCGUUAGGGGCUUAUUGCGAAAACUGGUUGCCGGGCAUCAAAUCUACCUACACUUGAGAGUUAGAGUACCCACCUAGCAGACAUAAGGUCAUGCUUCACGCCCUCCCAAGUCUCAUUUACACGCCAGCUAUGGAGCACUGCGAUUUGAGGUGGAAUUCUAAUCUAAGAGAUGCAUUGAUCAGUUCAAACAUCUG